GCGGGGGUCGCCGAGCCAGGUUAAAGGCGCAGGCUUCAGGAGCCUGUCCCGUAGGGGUUCGUGGGUUCGAAUCCCACCCCCCGCACCA
rnacentral:tRNA from 1 species